UUCCCCGACGGGGAGACUUAUGCUUCCUACCAGCAGCUAAUUGUUUUACCCACAAGGACAGGGGCUUCAAGCUCGUGCUGCUCUCCAGCCGAGGUGAGCUGAGGAAGGGUUAACCUUCCCUACUACAAUGGAGGCAAUCUAAAUCAAAUUGCCAACCAAGCAGUCAUCAAUGUACCGUAAGUAAAGCAGGAUGAGUUCAUUGGUUCAUCCCUGCCUUUUGCCUUCAUCAGCAAAUUCCAGUCCAAUGUGUACACUAUGCUUUACAUCAGUAGGGCAUGCAUGCGCUGUUAAGAGCGACUACAGUUCCAUUUGAUGGUUAGUACGAGCCGGAAUUUACAGUGGCCUCUGAACCUUUCAGGAGGAUCGGCUGACCCGAUAACCCUUGGAUUGUUCAAGGGCUCACUGGUGCUGGGCACCUGUGUUGCUUGCCGUCCGACCAGUCGCAAGGCACCUGCGACACCUCAAAAGCAGGUCCCACCGAGAUUUGAACUCGGAUCGCUGGAUUCAGAGUCCAGAGUGCUAACCAUUACACCAUGGCACCGUCGCAUGGCUUCCAGAGACAGCUGUCGAACACGGUCUUACAUGCCAUCAACAUGUAUGGUUGUUACUGUGCACACAACAAGAGACGGUAGGCACUAAGAAAUACCAGUGAAACAGACGACCGCAUGAAAAAGCAACUUUAACUGGCUGUCUAAAGUAACGUGGUCAGCUACGAGGGCUGAGGCUGAGAGCAGCAUGUUCAUUCUUUGCUGAGAGCAACACGUGCAAAAAGCAGGAGUCAGAGGCCACACAAACGGCACCGUCUCAGUUUAGCGUGUCAGGCACGCCCGCCGUACUACGAGCACAGUGUUUUAUUGUCUUCAUGCCGCCUGCCGUGUAAAGACUUGAUGAGUAAUCUCUGUCAGCAUCAUGUGGCAGACAACAGUGGCAGGGAAAAGCACGCCUUGUCAGAAGUGGGAUUCGAACCCACGCCUCCAGGGGAGACUGCGACCUGAACGCCAGCAGCCGCUGGAUCGUCUGUUUAGAAUUCUGUAAUGUUGAAGAUUACGGCCAAUGGCAUCUCGCUAUUCCAACAUUCUCCAACAUUCUCCAACAUUCUGGACCAAUCGCGUUGGCGAAUUCUUCCCAGCGUUCAACAUUUGACCAAUGACAGCGCAGCAAUGUUAGAGCCGAGGGAGGCGGGGCGAGGGUAUCCUUUCGCCAUUUCGGGUCACUGUCAUUACGUCCGAAAUUUUCCACUCGCUACAUGUAUCGAAAUGGCAAUGUCUUCCAAGACAAAAUCGCACAAGGCAAUGUCCGACUCAGAGUGGAUGUCCCGUCUGAGAAGGUUUGCCAGCACUGGGUCCUGGCCUGCAGGUGAAGGCAACAGACCUGCUCCCAGGCAGAAGAAAUGGUUUGAGCUGUAUCAGAGGAUUGAGAAAUGUCCGAUGCAGACUCAUGGACAGAGGUCAUUGUUUGGGCAAGAGAGGAAGUGCCA